CCAUGUCAGGCUCUGAGGUGAACAGCACAGAUCAUCUGAUGAUGGAGCCUCUGGCAGCAUCGGAAAGGCAUUUCAGAGCUCAGCAGCAGAACAAUCUCACUGGGGAUCCAGAGUGCCUGAGAGAAGACACUUGCUGGGCUGCUCCUUUCUCAUGCCGUGUAUGGUUCAUGGUUAAGCCAGUGACACAGGAGUAGGAAGAAAAUUUUAGAUUACGAGAUCCUGCUGCCUGCUAUGAAGGAGAAGCAAGCCACAUAACCCUCCUCGUAUCUUCAUCAAGCUGUAUUUUAAAAUCAAGAAACUCACUGGCCCUCACUGUUGUCUUGUGAAGCUUGCCAUAUUCAAUUCCUCUUCAUGCAUUGUUUGGGCAUAAAUAAAAUAUUCUUCAGACAACUGACGUGCUACAGGUUCGUGGUGCUUUUCUUCAACUGCCUCCUGACCUUCGUUCGGCUCCUGCUUCUGCUUCGACAUCCCCAGCGUCCUGCGGGAGCGGUUCCAGGGGGUAGGAGCGUGCCGGCUCCGGGGUCCUUCGCGCAGUGCUGCCCGCGUUGCUGUCUCAAAGAAGGUCGGGUAAGAAAAGUAAAACCGGGGCAUCAGAGGCUUUGGUCACAAGUAGUGCUUCAAAAGCUUCUCAAAUGGUGCAAAUGUGGAAGUCGUGCUCCGAGGUCUUAUGCGCCAGGUGCUCAGUCUGAUGGACGGAACCACAUGGACCUACUUGUUGCUGUAAAAAAAGAUGGACAAAGCCAGGACAGGCCAUAAGGUAUCUGAGAGGUCUUGCUGCUGGCGGGAGAUCUGGAAGUCUGAAACCUAUUGCUGCUGUCCAGUGAUUGUCAGCUUUCUGUCCAAAGGACCGUUUGCUACACUAACGAAGUUCAGUGUUUGAGAGGUGUUCACAACACUUUGCAAUUAGAAGAUAGCUAGAAUUGAUCCUUAUUACCUACACUGGACUGAAAGACUAGAGAUGUUAGAGAUAAAAGUCUGGAAAAGGCUUUCUGGGUCUUCAAAUCCAAACUGCAGGUUCCACAUCACAGGUUUAGCAGCUAGCUGAAAGUAGGAGCUGUCCAGUGAGAUUACAGGAACUCUGUAAGGACUCGGCAAUGUAAGAUCUAGCAGUAUGUACAAAGACUAGGGAAUUUUGGUGGUCAGGGUUUAAACUGAUAACCCAGUUAAUUUCUUUUUCAGUCCAUCCAAGCAUUCCAGAGUCCAGAAUUCUAACAUGAAUUCCUGAAUACCUGAUAGAAAUUCUUACCCGACUCGUUUACCUGCCAUUACCAUAGUCUCAUAUCUUUUGAGAGAGAUGUGUGCCAUCUGCUGGUAGAUUAGUGUGCGUAAAUUUAGAGUCAGUGUCCAGUUCGUUUUCUUCCAUACCAAGGAUAGGAUUAUAUACAGCCUGCAUGUAACUUUUUUUUUUAAAAUGUAAUUAAUCUGUCAUAACUCAGACAGUGAAUUCCAGAGUAAAUUGGGUGCAGUUUUUCAUUGCUUUAUGAGAAAAGGGCAUGAACAAUAAACAAAUAAAUAAAUAAGGUCA
rnacentral:lncRNA from 1 species